GAUGAAGAACGCAGUGAAAUGCGAUAAGUAAUGUGAAUUGCAGAAUUCAGUGAAUCAUCGAAUCUUUGAACGCACAUUGCGCCCCCUGGUAUUCCGGGGGGCAUGCCUGUUCGAGCGUCAUUACAACCCUCAAGCUCUGCUUGGUGUUGGGCCCCGCCGCCCCGGCGGGCCCUAAAAUCAGUGGCGGUGCCGUCCGGCUCCGAGCGUAGUAAUUCUUCUCGCUCUGGAGGUCCGGGUGUGUGCUCGCCAGCAACCCCCAAUUUUUUUCAGGUUGACCUCGGAUCAGGUAGGGAUACCCGCUGAACUUAAGCAUAUCAUAAGCGGAGGA
rnacentral:misc_RNA from 1 species